rnacentral:rRNA from 1 species
GACGAACCGUGCAAACGUUGUUCGGAAUCACUGGGCUUAAAGGGCGCGUAGGCGGGCAAGCAAGUCGAAGGUGAAAUCCCACGGCUCAACCGUGGAAGUGCCCCCGAUACUGCUUGUCUUGAGGGAGAUAGGGGCGUGCGGAACUUCCGGUGGAGCGGUGAAAUGCGUAGAUAUCGGAAGGAACAUCAGUGGCGAAAGCGACUUCCUGGACCAGUACCGACGUUCAGGCACGAAAGCGUGGGGAGCAAACAGG